rnacentral:rRNA from 1 species
UACGAAGGGGGCUAGCGUUGCUCGGAAUCACUGGGCGUAAAGCGCACGUAGGCGGAUUGCUAAGUCAGGGGUGAAAUCCUGGAGCUCAACUCCAGAACUGCCUUUGAUACUGGCGGUCUCGAGUCCGGGAGAGGUGAGUGGAACUGCGAGUGUAGAGGUGAAAUUCGUAGAUAUUCGCAAGAACACCAGUGGCGAAGGCGGCUCACUGGCCCGGUACUGACGCUGAGACGCGAAAGCGUGGGGAGCGAACAGG